rnacentral:lncRNA from 1 species
AUUUUUCUCCUUCAAUUUGUUAUAGUUUAUGAAGAUUUCUUUCUUUUCCUUAAUUAGUGCCUCAUUCUUUAUUUUUAGAUUUUUAUUUUUCAUACUUAUCUUCUUAAAAUCUUUUAUUAAAUCAUAGAAUGCAUCUUGAAGUUCAUCGAAUAUAAAUUCUAGAGAAGGUUUUGAAUUUACCUUAUCCUCUUGUGCCAUAAAACACAAGUUAGCUUCAUCUUAGGUCUCCUCAUCUGAGCUCGACUCGUCGCUGUCGUUCCAUGUUGUGACCAUUGCCUUCUUCUUAUUUUUUUUUGAAGGUCUUCUUCAAGGUUGGAUAGUUAGCC